rnacentral:rRNA from 1 species
GAUAUUGCACAAUGGAGGGAACUCUGAUGCAGCAACGCCGCGUGAGGGAAGAAGGUCUUCGGAUUGUAAACCUAAGUAGUCAGGGAAGAUAAUGACGGUACCUGAAAAGUAAGCUCCGGCUAACUACGUGCCAGCAGCCGCGGUAAUACGUAGGGAGCGAGCGUUGUCCGGAAUUACUGGGUGUAAAGGGAGCGUAGGCGGGGAAUUAAGUCAGACGUGAAAUCUAUGGGCUCAACCCAUAGCGUGCGUUUGAAACUAAUUUUCUUGAGUGAAGUAGAGGCAAGCGGAAUUCCUAGUGUAGCGGUGGAAUGCGUAGAUAUUAGGAGGAACACCAGUGGCGAAGGCGGCUUGCUGGGCUUUUACUGACGCUGAUGCUCGAAAGCGUGGGGAGCAAACA